AUCCGGUUCGUAGACGGUUUUGU
rnacentral:snRNA from 1 species